GGAGGCUAGGCUUGCAGCGAAGCGUGCAGCCCGCGCCGAGGCUCGAGAGAUCCGGAUGAAGGAGCUGGAACGGCAGCAGAAAGAGGUAGAAGAAAGACCGGACAAAGACUUCGCUGAGAAGGGCUCCCGUAACAUGCCCAGCCUGUCUGCAGCCACACUGGCAUCUCUGGGCGGGACUUCCUCCCGGAGAGGGAGUGGAGACACCUCCAUCUCCAUGGACACCGAGGCAUCCAUCAGGGAGAUCAAGGACUCUCUGGCCGAAGUUGAGGAGAAAUACAAGAAGGCUAUGGUCUCCAACGCCCAGCUAGACAACGAGAAGACCAACUUCAUGUACCAGGUGGACACACUGAAGGACAUGCUGCUGGAGCUGGAAGAGCAGCUGGCCGAGUCUCAGAGGCAAUACGAGGAGAAGAACAAGGAGUUCGAGAGGGAGAAGCAUGCCCACAGCAUCCUACAGUUCCAGUUUGCCGAAGUGAAAGAGGCCCUGAGGCAAAGGGAAGAAAUGCUCGAAGCAUUAGAGAGACAGAAAGAGUUCUUUGAUUCCAUAAGGAGCGAACGAGAUGACCUCAGAGAAGAGACAGUCAAGCUGAAGGAGGAGUUGAAGAAACAUGGAAUAAUCCUAAAUUCAGAAAUAGCCACCAACGGAGAGACUUCGGACACAGUAAAUGAUGUUGGGUACCAAGCGCCCACGAAGAUAACAAAAGAAGAGCUGAAUGCCCUCAAGGCAGCUGGGGAAGGGACACUAGAUGUUAGGUUGAAAAAGCUCAUUGAUGAACGGGAAUGUUUGUUGGAGCAGGUUAAGAAGCUCAAAGGGCAGCUGGAAGGAAGACAGAAGAACAGCAGGCCAGACCUUCUGAGAUCAGAGGACAGUAUCUUGGAGAAUGGGACUGACGUGCACGUCAUGGAUCUACAGAGAGAUGCCAACAGACAGAUCAGCGACCUCAAAUUUAAACUUGCAAAAUCUGAGCAAGAGAUUGCUGCCUUAGAACAAAAUGUAAUAAGGUUAGAGAGCCAAGUAACGCGCUACAGAUCAGCUGCCGAAAACGCAGAAAAAAUAGAAGACGAACUAAAGGCGGAAAAACGGAAGCUCCAAAGAGAGCUUCGCUCCGCACUGGACAAAACAGAAGAGCUUGAGGUGAGCAACGGCCACCUAGUAAAGCGACUGGAAAAGAUGAAAGCCAACCGCAGCGCACUCUUGUCCCAGCAAUAAAUACAAGCAGCAAGGGGGCACCUCUCUGGGGACUCAGAGGCCCGGCAUGGUUUCCUGAGCUUUUAUCUGUACCGUUGGGAGCAUUACGUCUUUCCCUGCCUCUGAGGGAAGAAAUGCUCCCAUGCAAGGGUCACCCGAGGAGCCCGGCAGCACCAGAUCCUCUGUCUGCAGACCCUCGCCCUGGCUGGGAUGAUGCUCGGAGCCUGCAGGUUUCUUCAUAAGCACACUGGGUCUCAUGAGAGCUCUGGACUUGACGCACAGGGGCCUCUUAACGCCACCAACAGGGGGUGAUUGAGGUUAAGGUGGGACUUGAUUUUUCUUUUGUGUCUUGCUGAAGGUUACGGGAAAAUGUUCCAGUGUUGGGGACGAUCGCGGUGGAACCUACAGUCCCAAUGACUCCAGUAGUGUCUCUUAGUCUCUGCUUCCCAUACACAAAACACUGUGGAACCACAAGCCAUUACCAAGCAAAGCUCCUCCUUUGGGGACGAGGCGAUGGUCUAGACGUAAAGUGACCUUAAGAAGACUCUUUACAGGCAACAAAUGAAGCUUUUCUAAGGGACUUUUGCACCGGUUCAGUUCUUAAGACUACUUUUCCCAGGGUCAUUAGGCGGUAGCUUCACCGAAAACAACAGCUUUUCAUUUGCAUUACUUAAUCCUUAUAUUUGGAACUGAAGUUGUUAACUUCUUUUAAAGAAUGUACUGCUAGAAAAAAAAAACAUUUUAAAAACGAAACGUUAAA
rnacentral:lncRNA from 1 species